rnacentral:rRNA from 1 species
UUAACACAUGCAAGUCGAACGAUGAAGCCCUUCGGGGUGGAUUAGUGGCGAACGGGUGAGUAACACGUGGGCAAUCUGCCCUUCACUCUGGGACAAGCCCUGGAAACGGGGUCUAAUACCGGAUAACACUCUGUCCCGCAUGGGACGGGGUUAAAAGCUCCGGCGGUGAAGGAUGAGCCCGCGGCCUAUCAGCUUGUUGGUGGGGUAAUGGCCUACCAAGGCGACGACGGGUAGCCGGCCUGAGAGGGCGACCGGCCACACUGGGACUGAGACACGGCCCAGACUCCUACGGGAGGCAGCAGUGGGGAAUAUUGCACAAUGGGCGAAAGCCUGAUGCAGCGACGCCGCGUGAGGGAUGACGGCCUUCGGGUUGUAAACCUCUUUCAGCAGGGAAGAAGCGAAAGUGACGGUACCUGCAGAAGAAGCGCCGGCUAACUACGUGCCAGCAGCCGCGGUAAUACGUAGGGCGCAAGCGUUGUCCGGAAUUAUUGGGCGUAAAGAGCUCGUAGGCGGCUUGUCACGUCGGAUGUGAAAGCCCGGGGCUUAACCCCGGGUCUGCAUUCGAUACGGGCUAGCUAGAGUGUGGUAGGGGAGAUCGGAAUUCCUGGUGUAGCGGUGAAAUGCGCAGAUAUCAGGAGGAACACCGGUGGCGAAGGCGGAUCUCUGGGCCAUUACUGACGCUGAGGAGCGAAAGCGUGGGGAGCGAACAGGAUUAGAUA